CUCACACUGAUUCAAAUGUGAUUCAUCGGCGAAAAAACUACAAAGAUCCAAAAAAAUUGACGUCGCUGAUUUUUGCCACGGCAUUUGAUGACGUCACAGAGGUAGUUCCGAUGAUCCUUGUGUGGAUGCUCAACGCUUAAAGACUUCAUUUCUGAUGACAGAUUUAAACCAGGUUCUGACGUAUAACAAUGGGAAGAUAGAAAAAAUCCAGGUAAAAAGUUAUGACGUCAGCACGUUGCCGUAAUGAAGUUUUUUAUCGCUGAGUUUUUUCAUCGAAUUACGACAGAGAAGCGUCCAAAAAACCGGUAGCCAUAUGAAAAUGUUACGUGCAGUUGACAGCAGCGAAUGUUUCAGGGAGAUGGAGAGGGGGGGGGGGGGGUUCUCGUCACCAGAAAAUUUGCGGUUGCGAUCACCCAUUUGCCGAAGUUAGGCCGCUCGGGCGGUUUUUCACUCAACAAUUUCUAUUCUUAAGAGUGGCUUUCCAUGUGCCUCCCUAAGUUCAUAAAAGUGGUUAACAGUGCGACGAUUCACAAUUUCAGUUCACGAGGUACAAUAUAAGUAAUACAUUUCCUGCGUGUGCCCUAUAUUCAGAGCUACAGAUGUGCAUGGUGAAGCUGUUGAUUACAGGUGGUGGAAGCCGCUAUACUGGCCGAAGCACCCCGAGUGCCCGGUCCACCUCGUCAUCGAACCUGGGACGAAUGUUGGCGAUCCCACUAAGCCUGGAUAUGUCACAUCGUUGAAGAAGAAGAAGGGAGAAAUCAUGCUACCUCAUCUGAAAAAACCUUGAAUCGUGACGGAGAUCUGCGUCAGUUCAUUGAUGAGUGUAAGUAAAAUCAUGCCGGAAUCAUUUAGGCCUGCAUACACGAUCAAAUUCCGAACCAAUUCCGAUCAAAGUGGCGGCCAUUUUUCGGAAAUCAGAAUUUCCAUUUUGAUGGCGAUUUGAUGGACGGUUACACGGGCAAAGCUAUUCUGGCGGUCUUUUCAAAACAAAACACGCGAGUUAACCUCACUCUUUUAGCAUGAGAUCGAGUUGGUUCGGAAUUUGAUUAUUUUAAUUAUGGAUCCUGCCACAAAAAAUUCGUUAUUAUUCAUUUUAAUUUUAAGUACAGUAGUGAUAGUGUAUUGGUUGCAAAAAAAAAGGUACCGCAAGGUAUGGAGUAAGAACUGACUCCUCAAGAAGAAUAGUUCUCUCCUUCAGUACGUAAACACCGACAUCCUCGAAGAAGAUCCGCUGACUUACACAAAUUUCUUGCGAAUGAAUGAUGCCACAUUGAAUAAGUUAUUUAAGCCCUCCAUAGACGAUAAAAUUCCGAUCAAAGUAGCAUCAAAGUGUCGGGAGUCAUCAGUCUUAAACUCAUUAAUUUGCUUCAUUUUAAAAUGAAAACUUGGCAGAAAUGUUUCCUGUGGCAGGAAAUGAUGAAUGGUGGUACUCCGGUCUGAUCUUACUUUGAACAAAAAAGUGCGGCCCGUCAAAAUUUGAUGGUAGAUGGUGACCACCAGUCAUCAGCAUGUCUCCUUUGAUCGGAAUCGGUUGGGAAUUUGAUCGUCUAUGUAGGCCUUUUCUCUUGAAAUUAUCGCUGUAGGGACCCGAGUAUUUUCAGAGCUUGGUCGAG
rnacentral:lncRNA from 1 species